rnacentral:rRNA from 1 species
UCCCGCCUGUUUACCAAAAACAUCGCCUCUUGACUAUUAUAAGAGGUCCAGCCUGCCCAGUGACACAACUGUUAAACGGCCGCGGUACUCUGACCGUGCGAAGGUAGCAUAAUCACUUGUUCUUUAAAUGGGGACUAGUAUCAACGGUGCCACGAGGGCUUCCCUGUCUCCUUUUUCCAAUCAGUGAAACUGAUCUCCCUGUGAAGAAGCAGGGAUACUGAUAUAAGACGAGAAGACCCCAUGGAGCUUUAAACUCAACAGACAACCCGACACAUAUUUUUUCAUCUUAGUCAUCAAAAAGCCAUGUUUGUUAGUUUUAGGUUGGGGUGACCAUGGAGUAAAACUUAACCUCCACGACGCACGGGACUUGCUACUCCCUUAUCCAAGAGCCACGACUCUAAGAAUUAAAAUAUUAACGUAAAAUGAUCCAAACAUUUGAUCAACGGACCAAGUUACCCUGGGGAUAACAGCGCAAUCCAUUUCGAGAGCUCCUAUCGACAAGUGGGUUUACGACCUCGAUGUUGGAUCAGGGUAUCCCAGUGGUGCAGCCGCUACUAAUGGUUUGUUUGUUCAACAAUUAAAACCCUACGUGAUCUGAGU